UGUGUCGUGCAGCCACUUGUAGUAGGGAGGUGUGUGUGUUUUGAGUAUGUGGUGUAGAUGCUUGUGUGUGUGAGCUUGUUCUAGUGUUUGUGGCUAUCAUAACAUGUGUGAGUGUGUGGUGAUGAUCUUGAGCAUGUUGUGCUUGUGGGUGAUGUGGACUAGGUGUGUGUGUGUGAGUAGCAGCCCACCUUGGCAAGCAAGCCUUGCACCUCCACAUGACCAUAUGUGAGAGGGCAUGGUAUGUUGUUUGUGUGUGAGGCUUAAUAGUAGGGGUUGAGAAGUUAAUGUGCAUGACACAAACAUGGGGUUCAAACCCCCAUGUCACUUUGUCAUUGUGCACAUGAGCUCAACCUUGUAGUUGUUGUUAUAGUGGAACUACAUGAAAUGAUGCCCAUUCACUAGGCAUGAUUUGGAGUAGCUUCCUCUCCCUUAAUAUGUGGUCACUUGUUCUAAGUAGGUGCCCACAUUUUAUAUAUGAUUUUGGGGUAGAAUCUCCAAAGAAAUCCAGUGGUGAAGUUAGUUUUGCCAUUGGGACACUUUA
rnacentral:lncRNA from 1 species